rnacentral:rRNA from 1 species
UGAACGCUGGCGGCGUGCCUAAUACAUGCAAGUCGAGCGAACGGACGAGAAGCUUGCUUCUCUGAUGUUAGCGGCGGACGGGUGAGUAACACGUGGAUAACCUACCUAUAAGACUGGGAUAACUUCGGGAAACCGGAGCUAAUACCGGAUAAUAUUUUGAACCGCAUGGUUCAAAAGUGAAAGACGGUCUUGCUGUCACUUAUAGAUGGAUCCGCGCUGCAUUAGCUAGUUGGUAAGGUAACGGCUUACCAAGGCAACGAUGCAUAGCCGACCUGAGAGGGUGAUCGGCCACACUGGAACUGAGACACGGUCCAGACUCCUACGGGAGGCAGCAGUAGGGAAUCUUCCGCAAUGGGCGAAAGCCUGACGGAGCAACGCCGCGUGAGUGAUGAAGGUCUUCGGAUCGUAAAACUCUGUUAUUAGGGAAGAACAUAUGUGUAAGUAACUGUGCACAUCUUGACGGUACCUAAUCAGAAAGCCACGGCUAACUACGUGCCAGCAGCCGCGGUAAUACGUAGGUGGCAAGCGUUAUCCGGAAUUAUUGGGCGUAAAGCGCGCGUAGGCGGUUUUUUAAGUCUGAUGUGAAAGCCCACGGCUCAACCGUGGAGGGUCAUUGGAAACUGGAAAACUUGAGUGCAGAAGAGGAAAGUGGAAUUCCAUGUGUAGCGGUGAAAUGCGCAGAGAUAUGGAGGAACACCAGUGGCGAAGGCGACUUUCUGGUCUGUAACUGACGCUGAUGUGCGAAAGCGUGGGGAUCAAACAGGAUUAGAUACCCUGGUAGUCCACGCCGUAAACGAUGAGUGCUAAGUGUUAGGGGGUUUCCGCCCCUUAGUGCUGCAGCUAACGCAUU